CCUACGGGAGGCAGCAGUGAGGAAUAUUGGGCAAUGGGCGCGAGCCUGAACCAGCCAAGUCGCGUGAGGGAAGACGGUCCUAUGGAUUGUAAACCUCUUUUGUCGGGGAGCAAAAGACGCCACGCGUGGCGUUCCGAGAGUACCCGAAGAAAAAGCAUAGGCUAACUCCGUGCCAGCAGCCGCGGUAAUACGGAGGAUGCGAGCGUUCUCCGGAUUGAUUGGGUUAAAGGGGUGCGCAGGCGGAAGAUCAAGUCAGCGGUAAAAUUGAGAGGCUCAACCUCUUCGAGCCGUUGAAACUGGUUUUCUUGAGUGAGCGAGAGGUAUGCGGAAUGCGUGGUGUAGCGGUGAAAUGCAUAGAUAUCACGCAGAACUCUGAUUGCGAAGGCAGCAUACCGGCGAUCAACUGACGCUCAUGCACGAAAGUGUGGGUAUCGAACAGGAUUAGAUACCCUAGUAGUC
rnacentral:rRNA from 1 species